rnacentral:rRNA from 1 species
AGUGAACGCUGGCGGUAGGCCUAACACAUGCAAGUCGAACGGCAGCACAGUAAGAGCUUGCUCUUACGGGUGGCGAGUGGCGGACGGGUGAGGUAUACAUCGGAAUCUACUUUUUCGUGGGGGAUAACGGAGGGAAACUUACGCUAAUACCGCAUACGACCUACGGGUGAAAGCAGGGGAUCUUCGGACCUUGCGCGAUUGAAUGAGCCGAUGUCGGAUUAGCUAGUUGGCGGGGUAAAGGCCCACCAAGGCGACGAUCCGUAGCUGGUCUGAGAGGAUGAUCGGCCACACUGGAACUGAGACACGGUCCAGACUCCUACGGGAGGCAGCAGUGGGGAAUAUUGGACAAUGGGCGCAAGCCUGAUCCAGCCAUACCGCGUGGGUGAAGAAGGCCUUCGGGUUGUAAAGCCCUUUUGUUGGGAAAGAAAAGCUGCAGGUUAAUACGCCGCUGUUCUGACGGUACCCAAAGAAUAAGCACCGGCUAACUUCGUG